CUUGGGGGGGGUCCCUCAGUCCAGAUUGCGAGAGGGUGCAGGCCAGGUCGAGGGACCCCACUGGUGCAUG
rnacentral:pre_miRNA from 1 species